GGAAUUUUCAUUUCUUUCACUACGGAAUAGUACCGAUUGAUAAGGAAGAGACAUACCUAGAUUGAUUGGUACGAUCGGUUAUAUUACUCUAUGUCAGUAUUUUAAGAGAUACCAUAUUCGUUAUUCAUUUGACUUUAUUUUUUGAUUGUUCUUGAAUAAUGAAAUGGAGUAGAGUGCCCAUAUUUUUACCAGGAGUACAUACAAAAAUUGUAUUCCUUUGUUGUACAAUAUACAAUGAACUUAACAUAAUUACCUCGGCGGAACAGAGCGCCUUUUUAUUUUUAACUGCGCCCUUUUCCAAUUCCAACUCCGACUUGUGUAUCCUCUAUAUUUUAAUUAAAAAAAUCUAUCUCAUUCAAAUCGCAUGCUAAUUUUUUU
rnacentral:misc_RNA from 1 species